AUUGAACGCUGGCGGCAUGCUUUACACAUGCAAGUCGAACGGUAACAGGCCGCAAGGUGCUGACGAGUGGCGAACGGGUGAGUAAUGCAUCGGAACGUGCCCAGUCGUGGGGGAUAACGCAGCGAAAGCUGCGCUAAUACCGUAUACGAUCUCUGGAUGAAAGCGGGGGACCGAAAGGCCUCGCGCGAUUGGAGCGGCCGAUGUCAGAUUAGGUAGUUGGUGGGGUAAAGGCCCACCAAGCCAACGAUCUGUAGCUGGUCUGAGAGGACGACCAGCCACACUGGGACUGAAACACGGCCCAGACUCCUACGGGAGGCAGCAGUGGGGAAUUUUGGACAAUGGGCGCAAGCCUGAUCCAGCAAUGCCGCGUGCAGGAAGAAGGCCUUCGGGUUGUAAACUGCUUUUGUACGGAACGAAACGGUCCGGGUUAAUACCCUGGGCUAAUGACGGUACCGUAAGAAUAAGCACCGGCUAACUACGUGCCAGCCGCCGCGGUAA
rnacentral:rRNA from 1 species